rnacentral:rRNA from 1 species
AUUGAACGCUGGCGGCAUGCCUUACACAUGCAAGUCGAACGGUAACAGGUCUUCGGAUGCUGACGAGUGGCGAACGGGUGAGUAAUACAUCGGAACGUGCCCAGUAAUGGGGGAUAGCUCGGCGAAAGCCGGAUUAAUACCGCAUACGCCCUGAGGGGGAAAGUGGGGGAUCGCAAGACCUCACGUUAUUGGAGCGGCCGAUGGCUGAUUAGCUAGUUGGUAGGGUAAAGGCCUACCAAGGCGACGAUCAGUAGCUGGUCUGAGAGGACGAUCAGCCACACUGGGACUGAGACACGGCCCAGACUCCUACGGGAGGCAGCAGUGGGGAAUUUUGGACAAUGGGGGAAACCCUGAUCCAGCAAUGCCGCGUGUGCGAAGAAGGCCUUCGGGUUGUAAAGCACUUUUGUCAGGGAAGAAAUCCUUUGGGCUAAUACCCUAGGGGGAUGACGGUACCUGAAGAAUAAGCACCGGCUAACUACGUGCCAGCAGCCGCGGUAAUACGUAGGGUGCAAGCGUUAAUCGGAAUUACUGGGCGUAAAGCGUGCGCAGGCGGUUGUGUAAGACAGGUGUGAAAUCCCCGGGCUUAACCUGGGAAUUGCAUUUGUGACUGCACGACUAGAGUGUGUCAGAGGGGGGUGGAAUUCCACGUGUAGCAGUGAAAUGCGUAGAUAUGUGGAGGAACACCAAUGGCGAAGGCAGCCCCCUGGGAUAACACUGACGCUCAUGCACGAAGCGUGGGGAGCAAACA